rnacentral:lncRNA from 1 species
AACACGGUAUCCCUCGACGGCGCCCAUGAGAACGACCUGGCAGGCCCAAAUGGCGAGGAUGCUCUGGGCAUGGACGAGGCUCGGGUUGCCGAGGUAGUCAAGGCCCCCCCUCAGUGAAGAUCUGAGAGCCGGCCUUGAACCAGACGGCCUCGCCGAACUGAACACCAUUGCGGGCGAGAAGCUCAGGGAAGACGCAACCGAGCGCGCCAAGCAUGGCCCAACGACAGUGGAUCACCUCAAGCUCGCGGUUCUUGGCAAAGGUCUCGGGGUCCGCUGAGAGCCCGGCGGUGUCCCACCCAUAGUCGCCGGGAAACUCACCGGUUAGGUAACUCGGGGGCUCGCCAGAGAGCGGGCCGAGGUACAGCACACGGUCGGAGCCGUACCACGGGCUGCUCGAGGAGAUUGGCUUGGCCUUGGCGGCGGUCUUGCGCAUGGUGCCCCGGCCUCACCGAAGAGAGUCGAUGACGGCAUGUUCUUCACCGUCUUGCCAGCGAAGGCCGAAGAAGAGAGAGACAUGGUAGUGGCUGCCAUUGCGCUAGCUCUUAAAACGGUGGUGGUCGAACUCUAUGCUUCUAAUAGUAUUCUGUGAGUGUGAAGGACUGAAGAUGGAUUCAGAAGGGAGGAGGAGGGAGCUACUUAAAGAAGUGAGAAGAGAAGACAGAGGGAAUUGAUCUGUGCUGGCAAGAGAGACACAGCCUGAGAAAUCUGAUGCCACCAUCUCAUUGGUGCAGCGGCCAUCCGGGUACAGUUGGCGCAGGGACAUCCUCAAGGGGAUGGGAUAUAGUCGUGGGUAGGGCUUGGGGAUUCUGCAUGUGCACUACAAUUUGUUGUACAACUAAUAAGUUAUUGAGUUUAAUCAGUUAUUGAGGAUUCUGCAUGUGCACUUACAAUUUGUUGUACAACUAAUAAGUGUUAAUUUGCUUCCUCCGAAGGUAAUAGUCAAAAGAAGUUUUUUGUUGGUAAACUGAUAGUAAACAUGCUCGAUCAACAUGUAUUGUCCACAUAUGGAGUUAAAAAUGAAUUAGCCAGUCGUGGGGCCAUAAUUUAGCCUUUGCUCAUGUACAUAGUAACUUUAUAUAAUCCGUGCUUUUAUAGUAUUGACCGUGACGGGGUGAAACCAGAUGGCACGAUCCACCUGUAAGAACAAAAGGAUUCGGGUUAAAAGCUUUAGUGGGAUCAUUAGUGACUGAACUUUUGCUAAAUGGGGUCAAAAAAGAAAUCACACUAAAUGAAACCAAAGCUGUAAGAAACAUAAAUUGAGGGGUCAAAAAAUAGAAUUCACUCUUUUAUGAACGUGUGAGGAAAGAAAUUAUUUCAUAAUUAAUGAAAAUAAAAGUCAGCGGAAUGGGGAACAUUGUUACGCGAGGUUAUUGGGUUUGAGUAAUUUAGAUGAUUGUUUUUAAUCUUUGCUUGUAUAAUAAAAACAUCAUUUUUAUUUUGGCGUGCAGAAAAGAUGACAGAUAGAUCUUGUGAUCACAGAUAUGAUGCUCUAAUUGUUGCCUCUGAGUUUCUGUAUUCUAUAUCCGGGAAGCAGCCCCAUGCGUGCCCUGCAAAAUUAGUAUGACUAAGAUUGUUAUUUUUGUAUAUACUUCCUUGUUAAUUGGGAUCUUUCUUAUCGACCAAAUCACCUAAUCCCAUCAAAAUUCUUUUAUGUCCUUUUCAUUGGCCUGGGUAUUUCUAGAUUUUGUAGUUAGUUCUGGAAUAUCCAUCCCUGAAAAAGGAAUGCGGUACACGUCAUUUUUACGGUAAGUUUGUUCACUUCCACGAGAGUAUGUAUUGCUCUGAUAAAACAUUGGGGGACAUCACAAAGUGUCUACUUCAAAAUCUGACAAUCUUUUGUUCAUAAGAUCCUCGUAAUUAAUUUACAUCAUCAUCGUGGUAGUACAAGUGAAACCAGCUACACACACUUGGUCGCGAGCAUAGUCGAUUUGCAUAUACACAUGUGCCUCUCAUUGACACCUUACUUGCCGGGAACGAAGUUGGUGGCAAAGGCCCACGCGUUGUUGUUGACGGGGUCGGCAAGGUGGUCAGCGAGGUUCUCAAGGGGACCCUUGCCGGUGACGAUGGCCUGAACGAAGAAGCCGAACAUGGAGAACAUGGCGAGGCGGCCGUUCUUGAUCUCCUUCACCUUGAGCUCAGCGAACGCCUCAGGGUCGUCAGCCAAGCCAAGGGGGUCGAAGCUGCCGCCGGGGUAGAGAGGGUCGACGAUCUCACCGAGCGGACCACCAGCAACACGGUACCCCUCGACGGCGCCCAUGAGCACGACCUGGCAAGCCCAGAUGGCGAGGAUGCUCUGGGCAUGGACGAGGCUCGGGUUGCCAAGGUAGUCGAGGCCGCCCUCGCUGAAGAUCUGGGAGCCGGCCUUGAACCAGACGGCCUCGCCAAACUUGACGCCGUUGCGGGCAAGCAGCUCGGGGAAGAC